GACAAUUAUAAAAUUGGACGUUUUUAGCCACUACAAUGAUAUAUUAUCACAAGUCAGAGAGAGAGAAACUGUUAAGAUGUUUUAUUUAAAAAGGAAAAAAAAUCUUACAACCUCAAACCUUUCCAGUGUCUUCACACCCAAAAUGGAACCCAAAAUGGAACCCUAUUAACAAGGACUCUGGUCAAAAGUAACACACUAUAAAAGGAAUAAGGUGCUAUUCCGGAAUACACACACUGUAUGCAUUGCAUUCACUUCCAUGGCAACUAAAGUAAAAAAAAAAGUAAAAAAACUAUUAUAUACAUCUCUAAAGAGUGACUUAAAUCAAAGUGAUUCUAUGGCUCGACGCAGUGAGACACUGUGUACACGUAAUAGGGUCCGGGUCAAAAAUAGUGCCCUACAUAAAGAGAAUAGGGUGCCAUUUGAGGGGAUGUACAAUCCUUUACAGCUAGACCUCCUGCUUUGCUUCAGCAGAGGAGGAGAGUAGAUACCUGAGUAGCUUUAGGUACGAUCACCCGCGUACGGCGUACCCAAACGGAUCACCCGCGUACAGCAUACCCAAACUGAUCACCCGCGUACAGUAUACCCAAACUGAAAACCCGCGUACAGUAUACCCAAACUGAUCACCCACGUACAGUAUACCCAAACUGAUCACCCGCGUACCCAAACUGAUCACCCGCGUACAGCAUACCCAAACUGAUCACCCGCGUACAGCAUACCCAAACUGAUCACCCGCGUACGGCAUACCCAAACUGAUCACCCGCGUACAGUAUACCCAAACUGAAAACCCGCGCACGGCAUACCCAAACGGAUCACCCGCGUACAGCAUACCCAAACGGAUCACCCGCGUACAGCAUACCCAAACGGAUCACCCACGUACAGUAUACCCAAACUGAUCACCCACGUACAGCAUACCCAAACUGAUCACCCCGCGCACGGCAUACCCAAACGGAUCACCCCGCGUACAGCAUACCCAAACUGAUCACCCCGCGUACAGCAUACCCAAACUGAUCACCCCGCGUACAGCAUACCCAAACUGAUCACCCCGCGUACAGCAUACCCAAACUGAUCACCCCGCGUACAGCAUACCCAAACGGAUCACCCCGCGUACAGCAUACCCAAACUGAUCACCCCACGUACAGCAUACCCAAUCUGAUCACCCCACAUACAGCAUACCCAAACUGAUCACCCCGCGUUCAGCAUAGCCAAACUGAUCACCCGCGUCCAGUAUACCCAAACGGAUCACCCGCGUACAGCAUACCCAAACUGAUCACCCGCGUCCAGUAUACCCAAACUGAUCACCCCGCGUACAGCAUACCCAAACUGAUCACCCCGCGUACAGCAUACCCAAACUGAUCACCCCACGUACAGCAUACCCAAACUGAUCACCCCACGUACAGCAUACCCAAACUGAUCACCCCACGUACAGCAUACCCAAACUGAUCACCCCGCGUACAGCAUACCCAAACUGAUCACCCCGCGUACAGCAUACCCAAACUGAUCACCCCGCGUACAGCAUACCCAAACUGAUCACCCCACGUACAGCAUACCCAAACUGAUCACCCCGCGUACAGCAUACCCAAACUGAUCACCCCGCGUACAGCAUACCCAAACUGAUCACCCCGCGUACAGCAUACCCAAACUGAUCACCCCGCGUACAGCAUACCCAAACUGAUCACCCCACGUACAGCAUACCCAAACGGAUCACCCCGCGUACAGCAUACCCAAACUGAUCACCCCGCGUACAGCAUACCCAAACUGAUCACCCCGCGUACAGCAUACCCAAACUGCAUAUGAUGGUCUCCCCUCCUGAAAUGAGACAACUAAUAACAUGAGAUGAAAAAAAAGUCUUACUCACAUAAAAUAUAUAUAUAUAUAUAUAAAAAGGCGUAUACAAAAUAUACAAGAGGGGGUAACAUUUGAAUGCAUGAUUUUCUUUUUAGAAAAUAUGAAGUGUGUACAAUGCAAGGUUAGUCAGAAUUAAGAAAGUGCUCAGUAUUUUGGCUGGGAACUCACAGCCUUUAUCCUGUCGGUAAUAAUAUAAACAAUAUUGUUUACCAAACGUGUUACAUUUAGUGGGGAGGGAACCUAGCUGUUAUUGGUAGAGAGGGUCAGUGGGGGAGGGAACCCAGCUGUUAUUGGUAGAGAGGGUCUGAGUGGGGGAGGGAACCUAGUUGUUAUUGGUAGAGAGGGUCUGAGUGGGGGAGGGAACCUAGCUGUUAUUGGUAGAGAGGGUCUGAGUGGGGGAGGGAACCUAGCUGUUAUUGGUAGAGAGGUUCUGAAUGGGGGAGGGAACCUAGCUGUUAUUGGUAGAGAGGGUCUGAGUGGGGGAGGGAACCUAGCUGUUAUUGGUAGAGAGGGUCUGAGUGGGGGAGGGAACCUAGCUGUUAUUGGUAGAGAGGGUCUGAGUGGGGGAGGGAACCUAGCUGUUAUUGGUAGAGAGGGUCUGAGUGGGGGAGGGAACCUAGCUGUUAUUGGUAGAGAGGUUCUGAGUGGGGGAGGGAACCUAGCUGUUAUUGGUAGAGAGGUUCUGAGUGGGGGAGGGAACCUAGCUGUUAUUGGUAGAGAGGUUCUGAGUGGGGGAGGGAACCUAGCUGUUAUUGGUAGAGAGGUUCUGAGUGGGGGAGGGAACCUAGCUGUUAUUGGUAGAGAGGGUCUGAGUGGGGGAGGGAACCUAGCUGUUAUUGGUAGAGAGGUUCUGAGUGGGGGAGGGAACCUAGCUGUUAUUGGUAGAGAGGGUCUGAGUGGGGGAGGGAACCUAGCUGUUAUUGGUAGAGAGGGUCUGAGUGGGGGAGGGAACCUAGCUGUUAUUGGUAGAGAGGGUCUGAGUGGGGGAGGGAACCUAGCUGUUAUUGGUAGAGAGGUUCUGAGUGGGGGAGGGAACCUAGCUGUUAUUGGUAGAGAGGGUCUGAGUGGGGGAGGGAACCUAGCUGUUAUUGGUAGAGAGGUUCUGAGUGGGGGAGGGAACCUAGCUGUUAUUGGUAGAGGGGGUCUGAGUGGGGGAGGGAACCUUGCUGUUAUUGGUAGAGAGGGUCUGAGUGGGGGAGGGAACCUAGCUGUUAUUGGUAGAGAGGGUCUGAGUGGGGGAGGGAACCUAGCUGUUAUUGGUAGAGAGGGUCUGAGUGGGGGAGGGAACCUAGCUGUUAUUGGUAGAGAGGGUCUGAGUGGGGAGGGAACCUAGCUGUUAUUGGUAGAGAGGUUCUGAGUGGGGGAGGGAACCUAGCUGUUAUUGGUAGAGAGGGUCUGAGUGGGGGAGGGAACCUAGCUGUUAUUGGUAGAGAGGGUCUGAGUGGGGGAGGGAACCUAGCUGUUAUUGGUAGAGAGGUUCUGAGUGGGGGAGGGAACCUAGCUGUUAUUGGUAGAGAGGGUCUGAGUGGGGGAGGGAACCUAGCUGUUAUUGGUAGAGAGGGUCUGAGUGGGGGAGGGAAACUAGCUGUUAUUGGUAGAGAGGUUCUGAGUGGGGGAGGGAACCUAGCUGUUAUUGGUAGAGAGGUUCUGUGGGGGAGGGAACCUAGCUGUUAUUGGUAGAGAGGGUCAGUGGGGGAGGGAACCUAGCUGUUAUUGGUAGAGAGGGUCUGAGUGGGGGAGGGAACCUAGCUGUUAUUGGUAGAGAGGGUCUGAGUGGGGGAGGGAAACUAGCUGUUAUUGGUAGAGAGGUUCUGAGUGGGGGAGGGAAACUAGCUGUUAUUGGUAGAGAGGUUCUGAGUGGGGGAGGGAACCUAGCUGUUAUUGGUAGAGAGGGUCUGAGUGGGGGAGGGAACCUAGCUGUUAUUGGUAGAGAGGGUCUGAGUGGGGGAGGGAAACUAGCUGUUAUUGGUAGAGAGGGUCGAGUGGGGGAGGGAACCUAGCUGUUAUUGGUAGAGAGGGUCUGAGUGGGGAGGGGAACAUUGAAAACUAUUGGCAGAGAGGUUUGGAACUCCCAUUUCGGUCUAUUAACUAAAUUACAAGGCUAAACCUCCAUCAAAACAAAAACAGGCUGAUAUUUCAGGUGUUCUUUUCAAUCAGCUCUUACACUAAAAGGGCAUUAUCAGUAUUGUCACAAUAUUAAUCAAACCUCAGUGUGGAAAUAUAUACAAAACAAAGGAAAAUCUAGUUUUUGACUGCACUGGGCCUUUAAAAAGUAAUUCAUAUACAGUUCAGAGCUACAGAGUACUAUACAGUUCAGAGCUACAGAGUACUAUACAGUUCAGUACUACAGAGUACUAUACAGUUCAGUACUACAGAGUACUAUACAGUUCAGAUCAGUACUACAGAGUACUAUAUAGUUCAGAGCUACAGAGUACUAUACAGAUCAGUACUACAGAGUACUAUACAGUUGAGAGUACAAAUUAUGUACUACGGAUUAAGAGCCCUCUUCAAUCUGGAAAGCUGAAGAGAUUCCGCGGUAGUCUCCCGGUUGAGUCUACGACAUCUGCAGCGUUUACCGGGAGUGAAGUCUCCCGGUUUCAGCCUACGACAUCUGCAGCGUUUACCGGGAGUGAAGUCUCCCGGUUUCAGCCUACGACAUCUGCAGCGUUUACCGGGAGUGAAGUCUCCCGGUUUCAGCCUACUACAUGUGCAGCGUUUACCGGGAGUGAAGUCUUCCGGUUUCAGCCUACUACAUCUGCAGCGUUUAACAGCAGUGAAGUCUCCCGGUUUCAGCCUACUACAUGUGCAGCGUUUACCGGGAGUGAAGUCUCCCGGUUUCAGCCUACUACAUGUGCAGCGUUUAACAGCAGUGAAGUCUCCCGGUUUCAGCCUACUACAUGUGCAGCGUUUACCGGGAGUGAAGUCUUCCGGUAAAGCGGGAUCGUUGUGUUUAUAUUUCAAUCCCGCUGCAAAGCUGGACUUCGACGAUGCUGAUUGAAUAGAGCCUUUAAUAAGAAGGUAUUUGACCAGUUCUCUAACAGAAAGAGACAGGCAGUGAAUGGGAACAUGAUGGUUAUUAAAAUACUUAAGACUGUGGACAAGCGUUUUGAAUGAACCCGAGGAUGAGACGUUAUUGAAGUCGUAUAACACCUUGA
rnacentral:lncRNA from 1 species